CAUAGCUGUGUAAUCUCUGACACUUUUCUCUCAGGGCUACACUGUUGUAUAGUCUCCAGAAGAUGUUUUCCUUUUCGUCUCCAGACGUAACCUUGUUUCUUUUGCAUUUAACCUGUAAUCUAUUGUACUCCGUACUCAUUGUGCGUCUCAUGCUUGAGGAGUACAGUGAGUCUGUUUGCAAACGUAAGAAUUAGACCUACAGAGAGACAACCAUUGACUGAAUGAGUUUCCAAGUGCCAUCACCCGUCUAACCCUUCUAUCUUUUCAACCUUUAUACAGGCAAAGUUGGGUGGAGACAGGCCUCAGAUUCCCCAGAACAGAACAGGUUUUGCUCCUCUGCUGGAGGAAACUGUCACUCUGACAGACAGAUACUGCCAACAACAGGAUACGGGCCAAAGUCCAACAUGUACUGGCUAACAUAAACUCUGGGUUCUGGUAGGAUUUCUCCCUCUGUUACGUGCACACCAUACACUGUCUGGGCGCUGCACUUCUGAGUUCCACCUUUUGCGUUCCCUCAACAUUAUGUUAUCAAUGAACAUUUAGAAAAUCCAUGUUUGACAUUUGUGAAUUGAUUUCUUCCUCACCCGUACUGUGUAUGUUAGCCUUCAAAAUGUAUUUUACACCCAUAGUCAAUCCAGCAGUACAAAUAUGGAAACACAACAUUAAAAGAACACAUUGUAA